AUUGAACGCUGGCGGAAUGCUUUACACAUGCAAGUCGAACGGUAGAGGGGGCAACCCCUCGAGAGUGGCGAACGGGUGAGUAAUAUAUCGGAACGUGCCCAGUCGUGGGGGAUAACGUAGCGAAAGUUACGCUAAUACCGCAUACGAUCUAAGGAUGAAAGCGGGGGAUCGCAAGACCUCGCGCGAUUGGAGCGGCCGAUAUCAGAUUAGGUAGUUGGUGGGGUAAAGGCUCACCAAGCCAACGAUCUGUAGGUGGUCUGAGAGGACGACCAGCCACACUGGAACUGAGACACGGUCCAGACGCCCACGGGAGGCAGCAGUGGGGAAUUUUGGACAAUGGACGCAAGUCUGAUCCAGCCAUUCCGCGUGCAGGAUGAAGGCCCUCGGGUUGUAAACUGCUUUUGUACGGAACGAAAAGGUCUCUCUUAAUACGGGGGACUCAUGACGGUACCGUAAGAAUAAGCACCGGCUAACUACGCGCCAGCCGCCGCCGUAACAC
rnacentral:rRNA from 1 species